rnacentral:tRNA from 1 species
GGAGGGAUGGCCGAGUGGUCGAAGGCGCUGGUCUUGAAAACCAGUGAGGUGCAAGUCUCCAAGGGUUCGAAUCCCUUUCCCUCCGCCA